UGGGGAAUAUUGGACAAUGGGCGAAAGCCUGAUCCAGCCAUGCCGCGUGUGUGAAGAAGGUCUUCGGAUUGUAAAGCACUUUAAGUUGGGAGGAAGGGCAGUAAGCUAAUACCUUGCUGUUUUGACGUUACCGACAGAAUAAGCACCGGCUAACUCUGUGCCAGCAGCCGCGGUAAUACAGAGGGUGCAAGCGUUAAUCGGAAUUACUGGGCGUAAAGCGCGCGUAGGUGGUUUGUUAAGUUGGAUGUGAAAGCCCCGGGCUCAACCUGGGAACUGCAUCCAAAACUGGCAAGCUAGAGUACGGUAGAGGGUGGUGGAAUUUCCUGUGUAGCGGUGAAAUGCGUAGAUAUAGGAAGGAACACCAGUGGCGAAGGCGACCACCUGGACUGAUACUGACACUGAGGUGCGAAAGCGUGGGGAGCAAACAGGAUUAGAUACCCCCGUAGUCCCUGAGCGGGCUGGCAAGGCGCAU
rnacentral:rRNA from 1 species